rnacentral:rRNA from 1 species
AUGAAGGAGCUUCUAGCGCCAGUUCCGAUCAGUGAUUAUAUGAAGGCAACAAUAAAAUAUUUGAAGCAACAGUGGGGCACAAGGUUGGUGCCAGUAAUCUAUAGAGGUCUGAAGGAAAGACGACAUGAUUAUUUGAGUUGGUUGAGAAUCACCCAUGUCAUAGCUACAUCAGUUAAUCUUGGAUUUGCCCUGGUGGCACUUUGA